rnacentral:rRNA from 1 species
GAUGAACGCUGGCGGCGUGCUUAACACAUGCAAGUCGAACGGGUCUGCCCUGUUUUUUGCGGGGUGGGUCAGUGGCGAACGGGUGAGUAACACGUGAGUAACCUGCCCCUCACUUCUGGAUAACCGCUUGAAAGGGUGGCUAAUACGGGGUGUUCUGGCUGUGCCGCAUGGUGUGGCUGGGAAAGAUUCACUUUUGUGGUGUUUUGGUGGGGGAUGGGCUCGCGGCCUAUCAGCUUGUUGGUGGGGUGAUGGCCUGCCAAGGCUUUGACGGGUAGCCGGCCUGGGAGGGUGGGCGGUCACACUGGGACUGAGAUACGGCCCAGACUCCUGCGGGAGGCAGCAGUGGGGGGUAGUGCACAAUGGGCGGAAGCCUGAUGCAGCGACGUCGCGUGAGGGAUGGAGGCCUUCGGGUUGUGAACCUCUUUCGCCGGUGAAGAAGGUCCUGCUCUUUGUGGUGGGGUUGACGGUAGCCGGGUUAUGAAGCGCCGGCUAACUACGUG